rnacentral:rRNA from 1 species
AUUGAACGCUGGCGGCAGGCCUAACACAUGCAAGUCGAACGAGUGGCGGACGGGUUAGUAAUGACUGGGAAACUGCCUGGUGGAGGGGGAUAACAACUGGAAACGGUAGCUAAUACCGCAUACCAUCAGAUGUGCCCAGAUGGGCAUAGCUUGUUGGUGGGGUAACGGCACACCACGGCGACGAUCCCUGACUGGUCUGAGAGGAUGACCCGCCACACUGGAACUGAGACACGGUCCAGACUCCUACGGGAGGCAGCAGUGGGGAAUAUUGGACAAUGGGCGCAAGCCUGAUGCAGCCAUGCCGCGGGUAUGAAGAAGGUCUUCGGGUUGUAAAGUACGUUAAGCGGGGAGGCGUUACCCGCAGAAGAAGCACCGGCUAACUUCGUGCCAGCAGCCGCGGUAAUAC